rnacentral:tRNA from 1 species
GGGCCGGUAGCUCAGAUGGGAGAGCGCCUGAAUGGCAUUCAGGAGGUCGUGGGUUCGAUUCCCUUCCGGUCCACCA